AUUGAACGCUGGCGGCAGGCCUAACACAUGCAAGUCGAACGAGUGGCGGACGGGUGAGUAAUGUCUGGGAAACUGCCUGAUGGAGGGGGAUAACUACUGGAAACGGUAGCUAAUACCGCAUACCAUCAGAUGUGCCCAGAUGGGAUUAGCUUGUUGGGGGGGUAACGGCUCACCAAGGCGACGAUCCCUAGCUGGUCUGAGAGGAUGACGAGCCACACGGGAACUGAGACACGGUCCAGACUCCUACGGGAGGCAGCAGUGGGGAAUAUUGCACAGUGGGCGAAAGCCUGAUGUAGCCAUGGCGCGUGUAUGAAGAAGGCCUUCGGAGUGUAAAGCACUUUAAGUUGGGAGGCGUUACCAACAGAAUAAGCACCGGCUAACUUCGUGCCAGCAGCCGCGGUAAUAC
rnacentral:rRNA from 1 species